rnacentral:rRNA from 1 species
AUUGAACGCUGGCGGAAUGCUUUACACAUGCAAGUCGAACGGCAGCACGGGGCAACCUGGUGGCGAGUGGCGAACGGGUGAGUAAUACAUCGGAACGUGCCCAAUCGUGGGGGAUAACGUAGCGAAAGUUACGCUAAUACCGCAUACGAUCUACGGAUGAAAGCGGGGGAUCGCAAGACCUCGCGCGAAUGGAGCGGCCGAUGUCAGAUUAGGUAGUUGGUGGGGUAAAGGCGCACCAAGCCAACGAUCUGUAGCUGGUCUGAGAGGACGACCAGCGCGCCUGGGCCUGAGACACGGCCCCGGUGGCUACGGGAGGGAGGAGUGGGGAAUUUUGGACAAUGGGCGCAAGCCUGAUCCAGCCAUUCCGCGUGCAGGAUGAAGGCCUUCGGGUUGUAAACUGCUUUUGUACGGAACGAAACGGCUCUCUCUAAUACAGGGGGCUAAUGACGGUACCGUAAGAAUAAGCACCGGCUAACUACGUGCCAGCAGCCGCGGUAAUAC